AGAACGAACGCUGGCGGCAUGCCUAACACAUGCAAGUCGAACGAGAUCCUUCGGGGUCUAGUGGCGCACGGGUGCGUAACGCGUGGGAAUCUGCCCUUAGGUACGGAAUAACUCAGGGAAACUUGUGCUAAUACCGUAUGAUGUCUUCGGACCAAAGAUUUAUCGCCUAGGGGAUGAGCCCGCGUAGGAUUAGCUAGUUGGUGGGGUAAAGGCCUACCAAGGCUACGAUCCUUAGCUGGUCUGAGAGGAUGAUCAGCCACACUGGGACUGAGACACGGCCCAGACUCCUACGGGAGGCAGCAGUGGGGAAUAUUGGACAAUGGGCGAAAGCCUGAUCCAGCAAUGCCGCGUGAGUGAAGAAGGCCUUCGGGUUGUAAAGCUCUUUACCCGGGAAGAUAAUGACUGUACCGGGAGAAUAAGCCCCGGCUAACUCCGUGCCAGCAGCCGC
rnacentral:rRNA from 1 species